GUGCUUCCUCUGGCAGCACAUAUGCUAAAAUUGGAACCAUACAGAAAAGAUUAGCAUGGCCACUGCAUAGGGAUGACCUGCAAAUUUGUGAAGCGUCCCAUAUUUUU